rnacentral:lncRNA from 1 species
AAGAACGGAGACUUCAGAAUUCUAGUUUCACCUCCUAGUAACAUGUCUUAGAGAGAAGUUAAGUAAGAGGGCUUUGGGUCAAGAUUGUGACUGGAUUCAAAUCCUAAAGUUUUCACUACAUUGUGUGCCCGUGGAUACUAAAAAAUCUGCAACAAAGCAAGAGAUGAAGAUUAAGAAAAAUUGUCAAGAAGGAAGGAGAAUUGUACUGACCCCUCUAAGAAUUCAUGAAGUGCUUGAGCAGACUACUUUGACCUCUUCUCAAACCUGCUAA